rnacentral:lncRNA from 1 species
GACAGACCCUGAGGAACACGGACAGAGAUGAGCACAAGAGGGGGUUCACUGUGGAGAAUGAGAGGAAACCCAGAAGAGCUAUAGUUUCACAGGCUCCUAGGAAAGGAUCUCAGGAAGAAGGCCUUAUCAACAUAUUACAUGCUGAAGAGUCUAAAAUACUCAGUGACAUAGUGACAUCAAAGUCUUCUGUGACUUUGGAGGGAGGUCUUACUACAUAUAAUGGGUGGAACACCACAAACUGUUGACAAUCACUGGGAAAUCAGUGGGAAAUGAGGAAACAGUGACAUCAAAAUUCUAUCGAGAAGUUUGAUUAUGAAACAAAUAGAAAAAUUUAGCAGAAGACAAAAGGAGAUGGAUACUAAAGGCAUGAGAUUAAAAGCAAAUAAAGAACUGAAAACAGAUAAACAGAUGUGAACCAGGACAUGAAGUGUUAAGUCUGCUCUGGCUACAGU